rfam:Dipodomys ordii contig_33934, whole genome shotgun sequence.
UGUCUUCCUUGGAUCUUUUUGCGGUCUGGGCUUGCUGUUCCUCUCAAUAGCAGUCAGGAAGCCCUUACCCCAAAAAGUAUCUACGGGAGGCC